rnacentral:lncRNA from 1 species
AAUGUGAGUUCCAAAUGCAAGCCACAUUUGCAAUUUUAAACUUUCUAGUAGUCACACUUUAAAAAGUAAAAAGAAACAGGUAAAAUUAAUUUUAAUAAUAUAUUUUAUUUAAAUCACUAUAUCCAAAAUAUUAUCAUUUCAACCUGCAAGCAAUAUCAAAGAUUAUUGAGUUAUUCCACAUUUUUUUUUUCAUGCUAAGUCUUGGAAAGCCAGUGUACAUUUUACAUUCAAUUCAGAAGGCUCCCUUCUUCAUACUUGGUGGCCACAUUGGCUCAUGGCUGCUAUUUAUUCUAGUGGCACAGAUAGAUAAUAAGCAAGUGAAAAAUAAUAUGAAGUACUAUGAAUAAAAUACAACUAAGAAAUGUGACAGUAGUGGCUGUACGUGUACAAUAUUAGACAGGAUUGUCAGGGAAGGCCUCGCUGAGGAGAUGGCAUUUGGACUGAGUCCCAACAGAGGAGAAGUCAUGCAAUGACCCAUGUGAAGAGCUCUCAAGGCAAGAGAGAAGCUAGCACACAGGGCCUGGCUAGGAAGGGACAGGAAGAACAGAGCAUGGCUACAGCAGAGUGAGCUGUGGUGAAGAUGGCAGGAAAUGAGGUCAGAAAGACAGGCAGACACUUCUUAGGCCUGGGUAAAAAGUCUGGAAUGAAAUGAGGUUUCCUACAGGGAAGCAGUAUAAGUUGAUUAUAAAUGGAGAGUUUCCAACAAGAAAGUAGCAUUAUUUGAUAAGAAAAGGAAGUAGAUAAUAGAGAUCCUUGAAUUGAAGCUGACGGAAUAUAGUCAAUUUCUGGGAGAUGCUAUAGAUUUCAGUGGGCAGAACAAGAAUGAAAAUGGUGAAUGAGUCUCUUCUGUUUACUGAGUGCAGAAUGGGUUGGGGUCAGGAGCUCUGGGUGAACCCUGGUGUAGAUGCCCAGGUAUAAGGGAGGAUUAUAAUUCAGUCAGGAGUGGUGGAAAUGAAGAGGAGGAAGUAUCAUAAACACUAAACAGAAUGAAUGGAUAUAAGUUGGAACAAAUGAAAUAAAAAAACUGUUGAGAGAAACAUGCACGUUUCAGUGCUGGGAGGCCAUUUUAGGAAGUGGCCUUAAUGACUAAGAUGAGAGAGAACUAUCAAGAUGUAAACUUUUAGGGAAUCACAAGACAUGUAUUACAAGCAAUUAGAAAUAUAAAAUUAGAGGCCUUGGGGGUGACAGGUCAAGGCAGCAGAGAGGUUUGGAACUACUCUUUGUAUCAAUAAAAAUGGAAGCUAACAAGAGGUUUAACUCCCAGAAGGUAAUGGAAAGGAAGAGAAAGAAGUAAAAAAAAGAAAAAAAUCCUAAAUAUAUCCACAGCAAGGGUGAGAGUUCAGUGUCGCUAGGUGUUUAUUCUGUUUUAUUUUUUAAAUUGGUCUGUUCAGUCAAGGAAAAAAGAACAAAGCCCCUUUG